rnacentral:lncRNA from 1 species
GGAAAUCUCUCUUACAGUUUCUGUACUCAAAGCACUCUCUGAAAUAAAUUAGAAUUGUUUCUCUGGACAGCCAAGAUUUACUCACCCCUCCUGGUGUUUUUUGUUUGCUUUCCUUUUUAGGUGACAAGACUUAAGUAGAGAAGUACUGUGUUUCACAUUUUGAGCCAACCAGAUAAUCUGUGGAUACAUUUUGUAGUCCAUUGUAGAUUCCCAAACAACCAGAUGCCUUUUUUCUUCUUUGGAAUCAGUAGGAUUUAAAUAAUAUGCCUGGAAGACUUCUGAACCACUAGCAUCUUCAAGUUCCUGGCUAAAUUUACAGCCUCUUGUGUUCAGCACCUGGAUUGUGCUCAGGAUGGCAAGAGAACAAAGCAAUCUGCUUGCUGUACUUGGGAUAGAGAAGACCUGCACGAGAAAGCCAGAUAUUCAAGAUGGUGUGAUUUCUAUCACAAGCUCUGAAGGACAGCAUGGCAGGACUUAACUGCAGACCAGUGUUUUCAUUAGAGGGAACGAGCUGCCUGUAGAUGUGUCCUUACAACUCCAUUGUGCUCUGAACAGCUUCUUGCUGACCGCUGCCUCAAUAUCAGUGAUUCCACCUUAGACCAUAAG